UUCCCAUAACACAUACAACAACAAAAGUCAUUGAUGUUAAUUUACCAGAAGCAGCUGAAGAUUUUUCUCAGUACCAACAAAAGCAAGAUACAGACAUUAAACAAGUUGAACACAAGCCAAUACAAAGACAUCUAACCGGUGUAAGAAAUAAAUCUGACAGUUCACUUUCACAACAUCAAGAACUCCUCCAGACGCCAAGCUCCCCGAUGCAUCGAGGGUGAGGAGGUUCAAUUGAUGACAAAGUGGACUCACAGCCUUCUAAGAGCUAAAGCAUCAGCAACAGCUUUAAGCCAAUUCUUUCAAUUACGUGCCUAAGCCUCUUAUAAGAUACUAAAUAUUAGAACCCAGAACCCAUGGAAGGAGAGAACUGACUCCUGCAGAUGUCCUCUGGCUCCUGCAUUUGCACACCCACUCCCCGAACUCAGUAACCAACCAAAUAAAUAAAUAAACAUUCUUUUUUAAAUGU
rnacentral:lncRNA from 1 species